UACGUGAGGGGCAAGCGUUGUCCGGAAUCAUUGGGCGUAAAGCGCGCGUAGGCGGCCCGGUAAGUCCGCUCUGAAAGUCCAGGCUCAACCCUGGAAAGCGGGUGGAUACUGCCGGGCUAGAAUCCGGAAGAGGCGAGUGGAAUUCCUGGUGUAGCGGUGGAAUGCGCAGAUAUCAGGAGGAACACCAAUAGCGAAGGCAGCUCGCUGGGACGGUAUUGACGCUAAGGCGCGAAAGCGUGGGGAGCAAACAGG
rnacentral:rRNA from 1 species